rnacentral:rRNA from 1 species
GUUGAAACUCAAAAGAAUUGACGGGGGCCCGCACAAGCGGUGGAGCAUGUGGUUUAAUUCGAAGCUACGCGAAGAACCUUACCAGGUCUUGACAUCUUCUGCUAACCUAAGAGAUUAGGCGUUCCCUUCGGGGACGGAAUGACAGGUGGUGCAUGGUUGUCGUCAGCUCGUGUCGUGAGAUGUUGGGUUAAGUCCCGCAACGAGCGCAACCCUUAUUAUUAGUUGCCAGCAUUAAGUUGGGCACUCUAGUGAGACUGCCGGUGACAAACCGGAGGAAGGUGGGGACGACGUCAAAUCAUCAUGCCCCUUAUGACCUGGGCUACACACGUGCUACAAUGGACGGUACAACGAGUUGCGAGACCGCGAGGUUUAGCUAAUCUCUUAAAACCGUUCUCAGUUCGGACUGCAGGCUGCAACUCGCCUGCACGAAGUUGGAAUCGCUAGUAAUCGCGGAUCAGCAUGCUGCGGUGAAUACGUUCCCGGGCCUUGUACACACCGCCCGUCACACCAUGAGAGUUUGUAACACCCAAAGCCGGUGGAGUAACCUUCGGGAGCUAGCCGUCUAAGGUGGGACAGAUGAUUGGGGUGAAGUCGUAACAA